rnacentral:rRNA from 1 species
AUACGGAGGGUCCAAGCGUUAUCCGGAAUCAUUGGGUUUAAAGGGUUCGCAGGCGGUUUAAUAAGUCAGUGGUGAAAUCUCGGGGCUCAACCUCGAAACUGCCAUUGAUACUGUUAGACUUGAAUACAGUUGGAGUAGGCGGAAUGUGUAGUGUAGCGGUGAAAUGCUUAGAUAUUACACAGAACACCGAUAGCGAAGGCAGCUUACUAAACUGUGAUUGACGCUCAUGAACGAAAGCGUGGGGAGCGAACAGGAUUAGAUACCCUUGUAGUCC